GGGCUCGCAGGCGGUUUCUUAAGUCUGAUGUGAAAGCCCCCGGCUCAACCGGGGAGGGUCAUUGGAAACUGGGAAACUUGAGUGCAGAAGAGGAGAGUGGAAUUCCACGUGUAGCGGUGAAAUGCGUAGAGAUGUGGAGGAACACCAGUGGCGAAGGCGACUCUCUGGUCUGUAACUGACGCUGAGGAGCGAAAGCGUGGGGAGCGAACAGGAUUAGAUACCCUGGUAGUCCACGCCGUAAACGAUGAGUGCUAAGUGUUAGGGGGUUUCCGCCCCUUAGUGCUGCAGCUAACGCAUUAAGCACUCCGCCUGGGGAGUACGGUCGCAAGACUGAAACUCAAAGGAAUUGACGGGGGCCCGCACAAGCGGUGGAGCAUGUGGUUUAAUUCGAAGCAACGCGAAGAACCUUACCAGGUCUUGACAUCCUCUGACAACCCUAGAGAUAGGGCUUUCCCUUCGGGGACAGAGUGACAGGUGGUGCAUGGUUGUCGUCAGCUCGUGUCGUGAGAUGUUGGGUUAAGUCCCGCAACGAGCGCAACCCUUGAUCUUAGUUGCCAGCAUUCAGUUGGGCACUCUAAGGUGACUGCCGGUGACAAACCGGAGGAAGGUGGGGAUGACGUCAAAUCAUCAUGCCCCUUAUGACCUGUGCUACACACGUGCUACAAUGGACAGAACAAAGGGCUGCAAGACCGCAAGG
rnacentral:rRNA from 1 species